rnacentral:rRNA from 1 species
GACGAACGCUGGCGGCGUGCUUAACACAUGCAAGUCGAACGGAAAGGCCCUGCUUUUGUGGGGUGCUCGAGUGGCGAACGGGUGAGUAACACGUGAGUAACCUGCCCUUGACUUUGGGAUAACUUCAGGAAACUGGGGCUAAUACCGGAUAGGAGCUCCUGCUGCAUGGUGGGGGUUGGAAAGUUUCGGCGGUUGGGGAUGGACUCGCGGCUUAUCAGCUUGUUGGUGGGGUAGUGGCUUACCAAGGCUUUGACGGGUAGCCGGCCUGUGAGGGUGACCGGCCACAUUGGUACUGAGAUACGGCCCAGACUCCUACGGGAGGCAGCAGUGGGGAAUAUUGCACAAUGGGCGGAAGCCUGAUGCAGCAACGCCGCGUGCGGGAUGACGGCCUUCGGGUGGUAAACCGAUUUCGCCUGUGACGAAGCGUGAGUGACGGUAAUGGGUAAAGAAGCACCGGCUAACUACGUG